ensembl:lncRNA LINC03022 long intergenic non-protein coding RNA 3022
GGGGUGCGGAGGUCAGGAUGGAGCUGGGGGCGAGAGGCUCGGAGUGGGAGGACUCCCCAGCCAGCUGUGCUCCUAUAAGAGGCAGCGUUUCAGCUUCCUGAACCUGUCAGGACAAAAUAGCUGGAAGCGCACUCUAGAAAUAGCCUUGGGGAAUGAGAAGGACUCAGGCUGCUGUUCCAAACCGCUCAAGUGAAACAGCAGACAGGGCACUGGCUGUGGGAACUUAGCAGAGUCCCUUAGCUUUGUGCCUCUGAUGACUCCCCUGUAAAAUGUGGAUGAUGAUAGCACAGCACUAUGUGGUUGAGAGGAGUAAUGAGCUAAUCCGUGUAUCCAAGCACAGGCCAUGGCAAAUACCAAGCCCACGAUUCUAAUUCUCCCAUUUCAUCUCUACUAAUGUCUUCCUGCAAAGGAAGGCACUUUGGCCAGCAGUUUCUAUGAACAAGACACGUCCAAAGUACAGAUCCAUGCCUGGAUCAGCUGCAGGGUGGCUUUUGGUGGUGCCAUUCUUUCAUUUCUUUGUUCAUGAGGUCAUCCAGAGCUCUUUGGAGCAUUUUCUACUUGCUGGGCUUGGAGGACAAUGCAAAGAUGAACAAUAGAUGUUCUCUGUCUCUUUGAAGGUCAUAAUCAUCUGGAGAGACACAUUGGCAGAGAGACUACCUUAAUACAAUGGGACCUCAGGAUGUGACUUUAUUUGGAAGUGGGUGCUUGCAGAUGUAAUUGAUGAAGAGGAGGCCAUGCUAGAGUAGGACAGGCCCCCAAUCCAAUAUGACUAGUGAUCUUAUAGAAAGGGGCCAUUUGGACACACUCACCCACACAGGGAGAGCCCCAUGUGAAGACUGGAGUUGUGCUGCCACAAGCCAAGAAUGUACCAGAAGCCAGGAGGGAGAAGUGGAACAGAUCCUUCCUAGCACUUUCAGAGGGAGCCCGGUCCUCCUAACAUUGGGAUUUUGGAUUUCUGGCCUCCAGAGCUCCUGACAAUAUUUCUGUUGUUCUAAGCCACACAGUUUGUGGAACUUUGUUACAGCAACUCUGAAACUCAAGCCGCAUUCUAUCUGGGCAAAAAAUAUGUGCAAAGGUACAGAGGUGUACGGGAACUGCGGGAACUUCUGAGUUAAGUCAGAAUUGUUGUUUUGGUGGUUCAAAAAUAGGAGAACAUUGACAAAUUUGCAUGGUUCAAGUUAAGCUAUCAAGUUGGAAUAAUGUACCAGGUUGAGUGGUAGAUGGGGGGGAUCAGUUUACUGAAUAAAGCUCCAGUUGGAAUAAA